rnacentral:tRNA from 1 species
GGAGAGAUGCCAGAGCGGUUGAAUGGGGCGGUCUCGAAAACCGUUGACUCUCGUAAGGGGGUCCCAGGGUUCGAAUCCCUGUCUCUCCG